rnacentral:RNase_P_RNA from 1 species
GAAUGUGUGUAGUCGCUGCUUACUGUUAAGUAAGUAGAGGAAAGUCCAGGCUCACCCGGAAGUGGAUCGUUGCUUUUUAAAACGAUGAUCCCUGCUGAGAUGCCCGGAGUGAUCACGCCUAUCGCAAGGUAGGGCAGCUGAGUGUAACGCUUGGUUGACGGCGAGGAACUAACCUAAGGCGUUUCGCUAUGGUUAUAUUACUCUGAAAGUGCCACAGUGACGAAUCUGUUCGGAAACGAACCAGAGUGGAACGAGGUAAACCCCGUGAGUGAGCAACCCAAAUAUAGGUAGGGGCGCCGUCCUGCGGGAAAUGAACCAAAGGGACGGAUCGAUUUUGCGAUCGAUAGUUAAAUGACUGCAACUUCUCGUACGAGGCUGGCUGCCGCGAUCAGUACGGAAGAACAGAACCUGGCUUACAGCA